rnacentral:lncRNA from 1 species
CCAUCUACGUGGCUCUAUUAGGUAUUAACAACGGCUCUUUCUUAUUCAUUUGUUCAUAAGGAGGUAGUUGAUUCUACCCCAAUUCAUGAGUCCAUUCUUAAAUAUUUUGAUUGUUUCUAAUGGAGGACCCAGGAAUCUUUGCUCUGUGCCCUAAGAUGCAGCAAUGCAUGCCCUUUAUGAUAUCAUUUGCUGCCUUUUGAGUCCACUAUCCACGAUCAU